CGAUUUUCGCAAUGCCCGAAAGGGUGACGAAGCGACGCCGCGUGCGGGAAGAAGGCCUUCGGGUUGUAAACCGCUGUCGGGAGUUAAGAAAUGUAAGGAUGUUAGUAGCAUCUUUGCUUGACUAAGGCUCCGGAGGAAGCCACGGCUAACUCUGUGCCAGCAGCCGCGGUAAUACAGAGGCGGCAAGCGUUGUUCGGAAUUAUUGGGCGUAAAGAGCACGUAGGCGGCUAUGUAAGUCGGUUGUGAAAGCCUUCCGCUCAACGGGAGAACAGCAUCCGAUACUGCAUGGCUUGAGUGCGGGAGGGGAGAGUGGAACUUCUGGUGGAGCGGUGAAAUGCGUAGAUAUCAGAAGGAACGCCGGCGGCGAAAGCGGCUCUCUGGCCCAUAACUGACGCUGAGUGUGCGAAAGCUAGGGGAGCAAACGGGAUUAGAUACCCCGGUAGUCCUAGCCGUAAACGAUGGGCACUAAGUAGAGGGGUUUU
rnacentral:rRNA from 1 species